AAGUAAGCGCAAUGAAUGGCCUAUGGCUCUUGUGACCAAGAUUUUUCCUAGCAGUGACAAAAGAGUCAGAACGGUUGAACUAAGAGUUGCAAGGAAUGGGACAAUCAAGACAUUUCUCAGACCUAUAUCGGAAACAGUUCUGCUCAUGCCAACGGAGGACUGAUAUUUGUGAGGUCUUAUGUGAACAUUCUCAGGUUACAUGGUGGUAUCUAAACAAUACCAGGCGGGGAGUGUCAUGACACACAUUUGUUUUUUAUUUGCUAGCACCAUCUUGUGGCAGUUUGGUGUUAUAACAAAGAAAUUGAUUAUUGUAAACCAUUUUCUUAGUGGUUGGUUUAGGUCAUGUGACUCUUGGGUUAGAAGUUAACCAGGAAAUAGCCGCUGUGUUCCAGUUUUCUUUCCAUGCGGUGGGCCAACAAGUCAUCUCUCUGUUUUCUUUAUGUUUUUGUGCCUCGGAAAGGCUUUGCCUGUAAGUUUAUCUUUUUUCAGUGUUUGCAUGAACGUGUAUAUAAAUAUUUGUAAUUCAUUAGUUUGAGUUUAAAAACGAGCUAUUCAACAGUGAUGGCAAUUUGUUUAUAAUUACACUAAGAAGAACUGAUUAGGGUUUUAAUAUGUGCUCAGAGAAUAUUUGUAAACAGCGGAAAUUCAUUUGUGUUUAUUUUGAGAAUAUUUUGUAACAAGACAUUUGUAAUCUUUGUAUAUUUCAGCUUUACAAAAAAAGAGAAAGAAGAGGAAAGAACAAAACAGUAAAACUUUCAACUUUA